rnacentral:rRNA from 1 species
GGUUAAGCGACUAAGCGUACACGGUGGAUGCCCUGGCAGUCAGAGGCGAUGAAGGACGUGCUAAUCUGCGAAAAGCGUCGGUAAGGUGAUAUGAACCGUUACAGCCGGCGAUGUCCGAAUGGGGAAACCCAGUGUGAUUCGUCACACUAUCGUUAACUGAAUACAUAGGUUAACGAGGCGAACCGGGGGAACUGAAACAUCUAAGUACCCCGAGGAAAAGAAAUCAACCGAGAUUCCCCCAGUAGCGGCGAGCGAACGGGGAGCAGCCCAGAGUCUGAAUCAGCUUGUGUGUUAGUGGAACGGUCUGGAAAGUCCGACGGUACAGGGUGAUAGUCCCGUACACCAAAAUGCACAGGCUGUGAACUCGAAGAGUAGGGCGGGACACGUGGUAUCCUGUCUGAAUAUGGGGGGACCAUCCUCCAAGGCUAAAUACUCCUGACUGACCGAUAGUGAACCAGUACCGUGAGGGAAAGGCGAAAAGAAC